GGUCAAGCUACUAAGGGCGAUCGGUGGAUGACUAGGCGUUGAGAGGCGAUGAAGGACGUGGCUAGCUGCGUUAAGCUUCGGGGAGCCGCUAAACAGGCUAUGAGCCGGAGAUUUCCGAAUGGGGCAACCCAUCCAGGGUAAUGCCUGGAUAUCGUGCACUGAAUACAUAGGUGUACGAGGCGAACGGGGAGAAGUGAAACAUCUCAGUACCCCCAGGAAGAGAAAUCAAUUGAGAUUCCCUCAGUAGCGGCGAGCGAACGGGGAAGAGCCUAAACCGUUUCGGUGUAAGCCGGCCAGCGUUGCCGGAGCGGGGUUGUGGGGCCAGUUUGGAGAGGAUGGCCGUCCUCUCGGAAAGUUACCAACCGCUUAUCUAGGUGAAGGGUCUGGAAAGGCCCACCAUAGAAGGUGACAGUCCUGUAGGCGAAAGGUAAGCGGCUUUCUGGAACUGGUUCCCAAGUACCACGGGACACGUGGAACCCCGUGGGAAGCUGGGUGGACCAUCAUCCAAGGCUAAAUACUCCUCAACGACCGAUAGUGAACUAGUACCGUGAGGGAAAGUUGAAAAGAACCGCGGGAGCGGAGUGAAAUAGAACCUGAAACCGAUCGCUUACAAGCUGUGGAAGGACGAUAGCGAGCUUCGGCUUGCUCGUCUGACUGCGUGCCUUUUGCAUAAUGAGUCAGCGACUUACUCUUGGUGGCGAGGUUAAGCCGUAAGGUGGAGCCGUAGCGAAAGCGAGUCUUAAUAGGGCGUAUUAGUCGCCAGGAGUAGACCCGAAGCCGGGUGAUCUAUCCAUGGCCAGGGUGAAGUUCGGUUAACACCGAAUGGAGGCCCGAACCGGUUAACGUUGAAAAGUUAUCGGAUGAGCUGUGGAUAGGAGUGAAAGGC
rnacentral:rRNA from 1 species